rnacentral:rRNA from 1 species
AGCGAACGCUGGCGGCAGGCUUAACACAUGCAAGUCGAGCGGGCAUCCUUGUGGUGUCCGCGGCAGACGGGUGAGUAACGCGUGGGAACGUGCCCUUCGGUUCGGAAUAACUCGGGGAAACUUGAGCUAAUACCGGAUACGUGCGAGAGCAGAAAGGUUUAUCUGCCGAAGGAUCGGCCCGCGCCUGAUUAGCUAGUUGGUGAGGUUAUGGCUCACCAAGGCGACGAUCAGUAGCUGGUCUGAGAGGAUGAUCAGCCACACUGGGACUGAGACACGGCCCAGACUCCUACGGGAGGCAGCAGUGGGGAAUAUUGGACAAUGGGGGCAACCCUGAUCCAGCCAUGCCGCGUGAGUGAUGACGGCCUUAGGGUUGUAAAGCUCUUUUCUCCGGGACGAUAAUGACGGUACCGGAGGAAUAAGCCCCGGCUAACUUCGUG